rnacentral:misc_RNA from 1 species
GAAAUGCGAUAAGUAAUGUGAAUUGCAGAAUUCAGUGAAUCAUCGAAUCUUUGAACGCACAUUGCGCCCGCCAGCAUUCUGGCGGGCAUGCCUGUCCGAGCGUCAUUUCAACCAUCAAGCCCCGGGCUUGUGUUGGGGACCUGCGUCCGACGCAGGCCCUGAAAACCAGUGGCGGGCUCGCUGUCCACGCCGAGCGUAGUAACUCACCUCGCUGCGGAGUGGCGCGGGCGCCUGCCGUGAAACCCCCGACCCCCAAAGGUUGACCUCGGAUCAGGUAGGAAUACCCGCUGAACUUAA